ensembl:antisense Gm17029 predicted gene 17029
GCUCUCGGGGGAAUGUCGCCCUCCACAGACACCAGCGCGAGGAAGGAGCCCCUCCAGUUGUAGCUUCUCUACCUGCUCAUUGAUCUGCCCAUCGCCGCCCCGUCGGUCCUCCCUCUGCACCCCAAGGACGUCCUCCUCAUCCACAUGGCUGACGUCAUCAUCCUCAUCAUCCUCAUCCUCCUUGUCCUCCCUCUUCUCCUCCUCACCCUGCACCUCCAUCCUCACCUGGCCCUUGACAUCUAGCACCCCUUCACCCUCUUCCUGGGGACCCAGCAGGUGGUAUGUGGCCGUGGAGCCCUCCGGGCUGUGGCUGUCCUUCCCAGGAGAGGAUGACGUAGACUCGUUGCUGACAGGGGAGAUGUCACUGCUGCUGUGGUGGUUGACAGCCGCGGGGCUGGAGGGUGAUGAAGACUUCACUGGGAUCUGCCAGGAGGGGAUCUUCGGGGCCGACGGGGAAGGAGGGAACUGUCUCCUAGCAGUGGACAAGGAAAAAGAAAAGCAGGUAGAGGUUGGUGACAGCACCUGGCUCCAGUGCCACACAUCCCCUUGGUCCCUGAUCCCUGAACACUCAAGCGAUGGCAGCAGUUUCUCCAGGGUCACGAGGCAGGGCCCACUGGAGGCCCCAUCAGCCAAGCUAGUGUGUCUACCAGAAGUGUUCAGUGCUGCCCGAUGCCCUAACGCAGCCUCGCCCACCCCAGGGCAGGACCUACCCAUCUUGGCAACUGUUGGUCUGCCAGCAGGGGGCCCAACACGCUCUGGAGUUGCCCCACCCACAUUCAAUAUUGUCCCUACUCCUCUCCUGUGGCCAGAUGGGGACAAGGAGGCAAAAGAGGACCAAGGCUGGGAACCCGGGAGCCCCUGGCUAAUGUGCCCAUAAUCUCAGCCAAGGACAGCAGUGGGGAACCCUGGCUACUGGCUCAGAGUCAUUCAGACCUCUGAGCCCAAACUUUGACCAAGCAAAAGCCAGCUCUGCUGGGCCCUCAGCCAGCAGCCAGCCAGACUGAAGCCCAUUCCAGGACAGACCUGGGAAGUUGGGUCAACAUGGUCAUGGCUCAGAAGUGCAGCUCUAUAACAUGAAGUCCUGUUUCUGCAAAGGCCAAGAGGACAAGUCCUGUUCCUGCCCAGGGCUGUGCCACCUACCAGCACUGGUCACACAGUCAGCCUUCAACCCCAGAGCCCACCCGGUGGCACACGCACAUCCGGGCCUGCACCACACACACACAAGCAGCUCAGUUUGCGGUUUCCUUGGUUUCAGGGUCACCUGAUGGCCUGCAUCUGUCCCCUAACCACAGAGGCACCUGUCUUCUAGGUUUGGAAGGCCAAAGACUUCUAAGGACAGACAAUCUGCAUGCCCUGCCUGACUGGCCACAUCUGUUGUGGAGACACCCCCCCUCACCUUAGGAAGUGUGCCCCUCCAGCCUGGGCUCCUCAGAGCAUGCCGUACCCCAUCCUUGCUGCUCCCACAAAGCCCACCUUGGCUGUGGAGGCCUUGCCUCACAGCUUCUAAGCCCCUGGCCUAGCAGACACUCAUGCUUCCAGGUAGAGCCCGCUUGCGUGCACUCAGGCCGACCGGCUGCGCACUCCAGCUUUCUGGACAGAGGUUUCCAGGACACUCCGCUUUCAGCUUUAAAGUCUGCUUGCUCCUCAACCAGGUCAGCACUACGAACACUGUGCUGUCAUUCCAGGGAGCACCAGGAAGCUUCCGGGGAGGCAGAGCUGGUCUGCUGAUGCGGCUCUCACACCCUGUAGGCCUCAGUGUAAUGUUGUCUGAGACAAGGCUGCCUGGAAAGAGUGGCCACCUCCAGGUGCACUGUGACAGUAGGUGUCAUGUACCAGACAAUUCUCUGCCUGGAGGCCCUGUCUCUGCCCCACUGCUGACCUCUCAGACAAACAUUUUUUUUCUUUUCCUUUUUUUAAUGCAAUACUAUGGAUGAUAUCUAUCCCCUUGGUGUGGGAGCGCUGGCUCCUUAGGAGGGGAGACAGGAGCGCCUAAGGUUCGCCUCAAGAUCUUCAUCUUCCAGCUCAGUGAGGGGUCCCGUCCCUCCCGGGAUUGUUGUGCCAGCCCACAAGACCCCUACACCACCAGGUUGACCUUCAAUAAGCGAGAGCUCUCAGCUUCCUUUCCUACCGAUUCAAAAGAAGUCCUUUCAAGGAGUUGAUUUCCGACUUGAGCUCAUUAAUAUUCUGGGACUCCAGGAUCCAGUUGGUUGAUGUGGUGGCCUAUAGGUCAGAAGACAGAUAACACAGGUCACAGUGGUGCCUGGUGCCAGCCUGUGUCUGGGGUCGGGGGAUUUAGAAGGGCCCUCGUUGGGGCAAUAGCUGCAAGCCGCUCUGUAUACACUCUGCAUUGUCACGCCUGCCUGUGACAAAACCCUACAACAACAGUCCCCAACCUCUGACUGCUGGUGGUGCUAAGAAGUCAUUCAGUGUUCUUUGGUGGCACUACAGCACCCAUGUGUAAAAUAACAAAGAAGCCCUUCUGUUUCCCACUGACACUGAAGGAACGGGAGACUACAAGUCCUACCUGCGGCGGUCUCUCCCGUUCCCUACCCCACUGCGGAUGCGCCAAGGCUCCACAUCCAUGUGACCUGUCGAGGCCUGUGACUACUAUGUCCCUGAUUCCUAGCAGAGCAAUGGUUCAUGGGACAGACGAGUUAGAGGAUUCCAGACAGCUCUGCACAGGUGCCAGCAAGGGACAGAGCCUCCUGCCUGGGACAGGUGGCUCUCUUGCCUGCCUUGAGGUUUAGAUUCCCAGCUCCCACUUAGU